AUUGAACGCUGGCGGCAUGCCUUACACAUGCAAGUCGAACGGCAGCGCGGAGCAAUCCUGGUGGCGAGUGGCGAACGGGUGAGUAAUAUAUCGGAACGUGCCCAGUCGUGGGGAUAACGUAGCGAAAGCUACGCUAAUACCGCAUACGAUCUAUGGGAUGAAAGCGGGGGAUCGCAAGACCUCGCGCGAAUUGGAGCGGCCGAUAUCAGAUUAGGUAGUUGGUGAGGUAAAGGCUCACCAAGCCGACGAUCUGUAGCUGGUCUGAGAGGACGACCAGCCACACUGGGACUGAGACACGGCCCAGACUCCUACGGGAGGCAGCAGUGGGGAAUUUUGGACAAUGGGCGCAAGCCUGAUCCAGCAAUGCCGCGUGCAGGA
rnacentral:rRNA from 1 species